rnacentral:rRNA from 1 species
UUGAACGCUGGCGGCAGGCCUAACACAUGCAAGUCGAGCGGUAGCACAGAGAGCUUGCUCUCGGGUGACGAGCGGCGGACGGGUGAGUAAUGUCUGGGAAACUGCCUGAUGGAGGGGGAUAACUACUGGAAACGGUAGCUAAUACCGCAUAACGUCGCAAGACCAAAGUGGGGGACCUUCGGGCCUCAUGCCAUCAGAUGUGCCCAGAUGGGAUUAGCUAGUAGGUGGGGUAACGGCUCACCUAGGCGACGAUCCCUAGCUGGUCUGAGAGGAUGACCAGCCACACUGGAACUGAGACACGGUCCAGACUCCUACGGGAGGCAGCAGUGGGGAAUAUUGCACAAUGGGCGCAAGCCUGAUGCAGCCAUGCCGCGUGUGUGAAGAAGGCCUUCGGGUUGUAAAGCACUUUCAGCGGGGAGGAAGGCGGUGAGGUUAAUAACCUCAUCGAUUGACGUUACCCGCAGAAGAAGCACCGGCUAACUCCGUGCCAGCAGCCGCGGUAAUACGGAGGGUGCAAGCGUUAAUCGGAAUUACUGGGCGUAAAGCGCACGCAGGCGGUCUGUCAAGUCGGAUGUGAAAUCCCCGGGCUUAACCUGGGAACUGCAUUCGAAACUGGCAGGCUAGAGUCUUGUAGAGGGGGGUAGAAUUCCAGGUGUAGCGGUGAAAUGCGUAGAGAUCUGGAGGAAUACCGGUGGCGAAGGCGGCCCCCUGGACAAAGACUGACGCUCAGGUGCGAAAGCGUGGGGAGCAAACAGGAUUAGAUACCCUGGUAGUCCACGCCGUAAACGAUGUCGAUUUGGAGGUUGUGCCCUUGAGGCGUGGCUUCCGGAGCUAACGCGUUAAAUCGACCGCCUGGGGAGUACGGUCGCAAGGUUAAAACUCAAAUGAAUUGACGGGGGCCCGCACAAGCGGUGGAGCAUGUGGUUUAAUUCGAUGCAACGCGAAGAACCUUACCUGGUCUUGACAUCCACAGAACUUAGCAGAGAUGCUUUGGUGCCUUCGGGAACUGUGAGACAGGUGCUGCAUGGCUGUCGUCAGCUCGUGUUGUGAAAUGUUGGGUUAAGUCCCGCAACGAGCGCAACCCUUAUCCUUUGUUGCCAGCGGUCCGGCCGGGAACUCAAAGGAGACUGCCAGUGAUAAACUGGAGGAAGGUGGGGAUGACGUCAAGUCAUCAUGGCCCUUACGACCAGGGCUACACACGUGCUACAAUGGCAUAUACAAAGAGAAGCGACCUCGCGAGAGCAAGCGGACCUCAUAAAGUAUGUCGUAGUCCGGAUUGGAGUCUGCAACUCGACUCCAUGAAGUCGGAAUCGCUAGUAAUCGUAGAUCAGAAUGCUACGGUGAAUACGUUCCCGGGCCUUGUACACACCGCCCGUCACACCAUGGGAGUGGGUUGCAAAAGAAGUAGGUAGCUUAACCUUCGGGAGGGCGCUUACCACUUUGUGAUUCAUGACUGGGGUG